CAUGCAGUCGAACGGUGAAGCAGGAGCUUGCUCUUGUGGAUCAGUGGCGAACGGGUGAGUAACACGUGAGCAACCUGCCCCGGACUCUGGGAUAAGCGCUGGAAACGGCGUCUAAUACUGGAUAUGAGACGUGACCGCAKGGUCAACGUUUGGAAAGAUUUUUCGGUCUGGGAUGGGCUCGCGGCCUAUCAGCUUGUUGGUGAGGUAAUGGCUCACCAAGGCGUCGACGGGUAGCCGGCCUGAGAGGGUGACCGGCCACACUGGGACUGAGACACGGCCCAGACUCCUACGGGAGGCAGCAGUGGGGAAUAUUGCACAAUGGGCGAAAGCCUGAUGCAGCAACGCCGCGUGAGGGAUGACGGCCUUCGGGUUGUAAACCUCUUUUAGCAGGGAAGAAGCGAGAGUGACGGUACCUGCARAAAAAGCGCCGGCUAACUACGUGCCAGCAGCCGCGGUAAUACGUAGGGCGCAAGCGUUAUCCGGAAUUAUUGGGCGUAAAGAGCUCGUAGGCGGUCUGUCGCGUCUGCUGUGAAAUCUGGAGGCUCAACCUCCAGCCUGCAGUGGGUACGGGCAGACUAGAGUGCGGUAGGGGAGAUUGGAAUUCCUGGUGUAGCGGUGGAAUGCGCAGAUAUCAGGAGGAACACCGAUGGCGAAGGCAGAUCUCUGGGCCGUAACUGACGCUGAGGAGCGAAAGGGUGGGGAGCAAACAGGCUUAGAUACCCUGGUAGUCCACCCCGUAAACGUUGGGAACUAGUUGUGGGGUCCUUUCCACGGAUUCCGUGACGCAGCUAACGCAUUAAGUUCCCCGCCUGGGGAGUACGGCCGCAAGGCUAAAACUCAAAGGAAUUGACGGGGACCCGCACAAGCGGCGGAGCAUGCGGAUUAAUUCGAUGCAACGCGAAGAACCUUACCAAGGCUUGACAUACACGAGAACGGGCCAGAAAUGGUCAACUCUUUGGACACUCGUGAACAGGUGGUGCAUGGUUGUCGUCAGCUCGUGUCGUGAGAUGUUGGGUUAAGUCCCGCAACGAGCGCAACCCUCGUUCUAUGUUGCCAGCACGUAAUGGUGGGAACUCAUGGGAUACUGCCGGGGUCACUCG
rnacentral:rRNA from 1 species